rnacentral:rRNA from 1 species
CCUACGGGUGGCAGCAGUGAGGAAUAUUGGUCAAUGGACGCACGUCUGAACCAGCCAUGCCGCGUGCAGGAAGACGGCUCUAUGAGUUGUAAACUGCUUUUGUACGAGGGUAAACGCAGAUACGCGUAUCUGUCUGAAAGUAUCGUACGAAUAAGGAUCGGCUAACUCCGGGCCAGCCGCCGCGGGAAUACGGAGGAUUCCAGCGUUAUCCGGGUUUAAUGGGGUUAAAGGGGGCGGAGGCGGUCGGGUAAGUUCGAGGUGAAACUCCGAGGCUCAACUUCGGAAUUGCCUUUGAUACUGUUCGGCUAGAGAGUAGUUGCGGUAGGCGGAAUGUAUGGGGUAGCGGUGAAAUGCUUAGAGAUCAUACAGAACACCGAUUGCGAAGGCAGCUUACCAAGCUACUUCUGACGUUGAGGCACGAAAGCGUGGGGAGCAAACAGGAUUAGAUACCCCAGUAGUC